rnacentral:misc_RNA from 1 species
AACAUCGCGCACCUGCGGGAACCUGCGGAAGGAUCAUUACAGAGUUGCAAAACUCCCACAAACCAUCGCGAAUCUUACCCGUACGGUUGCCUCGGCGCUGGCGGUCCGGAAGGCCCUCGGGCCCCCGGACCCUCGGGUCCCCCGCUCGCGGGGGGCUGCCCGCCGGAGUGCCGAAACCAAACUCUUGAUAUUUUAUGUCUCUCUGAGUAAACUUUUAAAUAAGUCAAAACUUUCAGCAAU